CCGGAAGGCUACUUUUACUGUAGUAAAUGAACUGAACAAGCAUUCCAGCACUACACACCGCAAACCUGGCAACCCGUUACAUGAAGCUAAGCAGUACCACUCUGUCGUCUCUCCUCUUUCCAGACCUUUCCAUCCUCCACGUCUGCAUUCGGCCAUACUCACGACUACACAUAGUAGUAAGUGAUGAUUCAAUCCAAAACUUUCUUGGUUUUUUGCCGCUUUAGACUCCUUUCCAUGCCUUCACCAGGUAUCGACAAUAUUUACUCAGACUGCUGUGUUAUUUCGAGCGACUGUAAAGUAACGGCUGUGAAUUUCCUCACAUGAACAGUCUCGCGUUACAAGGUCAGCGGUGCUGUGAGCGCAGGUUCAAAUGCAUUCAGAGGUUUGUGAGACCGCUCGCUCACGUGAACAGUUUGUCGGUUUGUUGCGCGUUAGCCGCGUAAACAAAGAGCCUUCAGUAAAGUUCAGUGACUGGCUUACUGUGUCAUGUCCAGGUAUGAGGCUACAGGAUCCAGUGUGAGUGAGACUGGCCACAAGAUGGCGCCCAGCAGCAGGAAGACGAGAGUCAAGUCUUGGUCACUGAUGCACUUGAGUGAAUCAGUUUGUGUCAGCUACUGUAAUAAACUUAAAAGUUCUGUUCAUUGCUGAAAAUUAGUGUAAUGUUUGUGUGUGUUGUAGAAAGGAAUUGAAUGCCCUGAGUGAGUGAAUUUUCUAUAAUCUGAUUUUGUUGUGACAUUUCACCAGAUCUACAGCAAAAGUAUUUGUUUUAUAUACUUUAUCUUUUGUCCUCAGUGAAGAAAUGACAUCAGAAUUUGCUGUACGUUGAACACAUUGAUUGAAUAAAGUCACUUUUUUAUCA